CGCCAGUCCAGACUCCUACGGGAGGCAGCAGUGGGGAAUUUUCCGCAAUGGGCGAAAGCCUGACGGAGCAACGCCGCGUGAGGGAGGAAGGUCUUUGGAUUGUAAACCUCUUUUCUCAAGGAAGAAGUUUCUGACGGUACUUGAGGAAUCAGCCUUCGGCUAACUCCGUGCCAGCAGCCGCGGUAAUACGGGGGAGGCAAGCGUUAUCCGGAAUUAUUGGGCGUAAAGCGUCCGCAGGUGGUCAGCCAAGUCUGCUGUCAAAUCAGGUUGCUUAACGACCUAAAGGCGGUGGAAA
rnacentral:rRNA from 1 species